GAUUUCCAUUUAGAGCAGUAGUGGCCUUUAAACAAGUGAAGUCAUGGGCAUUGGGCGUUCAUUUGAGGAGGCCUUCCAGAAGGCCCUGCGCAUGGUGGAUGAGAACUGUGUGGGCUUUGAUCACACAGUGAAACCAGUCAGCGAUAUGGAGUUGGAGACUCCAACAGAUAAGCGGAUUUUUGUGGUGGCAGCUGCUUUGUGGGCUGGUUAUUCAGUGGACCGCCUGUAUGAGCUCACACGCAUCGACCGCUGGUUCCUGCACCGAAUGAAGCGUAUCAUCGCACAUGCCCAGCUGCUAGAACAACACCGUGGACAGCCUUUGCCCCCAGACCUGCUGCAACAGGCCAAGUGUCUUGGCUUCUCAGACAAACAGAUUGCCCUUGCAGUUCUGAGCACAGAGCUGGCUGUUCGCAAGCUGCGUCAGGAACUGGGGAUCUGUCCAGCAGUGAAACAGAUUGACACAGUUGCAGCUGAGUGGCCAGCCCAGACAAAUUACCUAUACCUAACGUAUUGGGGCACCACCCAUGACCUCACCUUUCGAACACCUCAUGUCCUAGUCCUUGGCUCUGGCGUCUACCGUAUUGGCUCC
rnacentral:sRNA from 1 species